rnacentral:rRNA from 1 species
GGUUAAGCGACUAAGCGUACACGGUGGAUGCCCUGGCAGUCAGAGGCGAUGAAGGACGUGCUAAUCUGCGAUAAGCGUCGGUAAGGUGAUAUGAACCGUUAUAACCGGCGAUUUCCGAAUGGGGAAACCCAGUGUGUUUCGACACACUAUCAUUAACUGAAUCCAUAGGUUAAUGAGGCGAACCGGGGGAACUGAAACAUCUAAGUACCCCGAGGAAAAGAAAUCAACCGAGAUUCCCCCAGUAGCGGCGAGCGAACGGGGAGCAGCCCAGAGCCUGAAUCAGUGUGUGUGUUAGUGGAAGCGUCUGGAAAGGCGCGCGAUACAGGGUGACAGCCCCGUACACAAAAAUGCACAUGCUGUGAGCUCGAUGAGUAGGGCGGGACACGUGGUAUCCUGUCUGAAUAUGGGGGGACCAUCCUCCAAGGCUAAAUACUCCUGACUGACCGAUAGUGAACCAGUACCGUGAGGGAAAGGCGAAAAGAACCCCGGCGAGGGGAGUGAAAAAGAACCUGAAACCGUGUACGUACAAGCAGUGGGAGCACGCUUAGGCGUGUGACUGCGUACCUUUUGUAUAAUGGGUCAGCGACUUAUAUUCUGUAGCAAGGUUAACCGAAUAGGGGAGCCGAAGGGAAACCGAGUCUUAACUGGGCGUUAAGUUGCAGGGUAUAGACCCGAAACCCGGUGAUCUAGCCAUGGGCAGGUUGAAGGUUGGGUAACACUAACUGGAGGACCGAACCGACUAAUGUUGAAAAAUUAGCGGAUGACUUGUGGCUGGGGGUGAAAGGCCAAUCAAACCGGGAGAUAGCUGGUUCUCCCCGAAAGCUAUUUAGGUAGCGCCUCGUGAAUUCAUCUCCGGGGGUAGAGCACUGUUUCGGCAAGGGGGUCAUCCCGACUUACCAACCCGAUGCAAACUGCGAAUACCGGAGAAUGUUAUCACGGGAGACACACGGCGGGUGCUAACGUCCGUCGUGAAGAGGGAAACAACCCAGACCGCCAGCUAAGGUCCCAAAGUCAUGGUUAAGUGGGAAACGAUGUGGGAAGGCCCAGACAGCCAGGAUGUUGGCUUAGAAGCAGCCAUCAUUUAAAGAAAGCGUAAUAGCUCACUGGUCGAGUCGGCCUGCGCGGAAGAUGUAACGGGGCUAAACCAUGCACCGAAGCUGCGGCAGCGACACUAUGUGUUGUUGGGUAGGGGAGCGUUCUGUAAGCCUGUGAAGGUGUGCUGUGAGGCAUGCUGGAGGUAUCAGAAGUGCGAAUGCUGACAUAAGUAACGAUAAAGCGGGUGAAAAGCCCGCUCGCCGGAAGACCAAGGGUUCCUGUCCAACGUUAAUCGGGGCAGGGUGAGUCGACCCCUAAGGCGAGGCCGAAAGGCGUAGUCGAUGGGAAACAGGUUAAUAUUCCUGUACUUGGUGUUACUGCGAAGGGGGGACGGAGAAGGCUAUGUUGGCCGGGCGACGGUUGUCCCGGUUUAAGCGUGUAGGCUGGUUUUCCAGGCAAAUCCGGAAAAUCAAGGCUGAGGCGUGAUGACGAGGCACUACGGUGCUGAAGCAACAAAUGCCCUGCUUCCAGGAAAAGCCUCUAAGCAUCAGGUAACAUCAAAUCGUACCCCAAACCGACACAGGUGGUCAGGUAGAGAAUACCAAGGCGCUUGAGAGAACUCGGGUGAAGGAACUAGGCAAAAUGGUGCCGUAACUUCGGGAGAAGGCACGCUGAUAUGUAGGUGAGGUCCCUCGCGGAUGGAGCUGAAAUCAGUCGAAGAUACCAGCUGGCUGCAACUGUUUAUUAAAAACACAGCACUGUGCAAACACGAAAGUGGACGUAUACGGUGUGACGCCUGCCCGGUGCCGGAAGGUUAAUUGAUGGGGUCAGCGCAAGCGAAGCUCUUGAUCGAAGCCCCGGUAAACGGCGGCCGUAACUAUAACGGUCCUAAGGUAGCGAAAUUCCUUGUCGGGUAAGUUCCGACCUGCACGAAUGGCGUAAUGAUGGCCAGGCUGUCUCCACCCGAGACUCAGUGAAAUUGAACUCGCUGUGAAGAUGCAGUGUACCCGCGGCAAGACGGAAAGACCCCGUGAACCUUUACUAUAGCUUGACACUGAACAUUGAGCCUUGAUG